AGUCGCCACGGCCCGCGGGGAGAGGGGACGCUUCUUCCCUUCCCUUCCGGGCGCCUCACGGGACGCGCUCGCCCGCGGCUCUCCGGGCCCCCGCGCCUCAGCGCCCGGGCCUCAGGCGGCCUCCACGGUGACUGCGGGCGCUGACCCGGAACUGCUGAGCGGCGCGGGAAUCCCCCGCAAGGGGCUCGGCCUUGCGUCUCCAGGGCGCCACCUCGCGGCCGUGGCGGGAACACCCAAACCCGGGCGCACGCCCGCGGGAGCCCGAGGCCGCCGGGAGGCCCGGGGACGCGGUGAGGCGGGCGGACCGGCCGGCCGGUGACUUUGGGAGCCACUGGGGUUCGAGCGCCGAGCCUGCAGCUCACGCCCCAGCUCGCGGCCGCCGAGGAGAGCGCGGGAAGCAGCCCUGCGCACUUGGGAGGCAGAGGCAGAGGCAAGCAGGUGUCUGAGGUCGAAGCCAGCCUGGUCUACAUAGCUAGUUCCAGGACUGCUGGGGCUGUUAGACAGAGAAGCUCUGCCUCGAAUCCCUGUCCCAACCGCAACCCCAAAGAAGAUUGGCUGCUGAUACUGCUCAACUUAAUAUCCUAAAGCUGCUAUGGCAUAAAAAGUCUUUGGGGCAAAAAAGACUGCCUGAUUGAAGAAUGGCAGAAGCAGUCUUGAUUGAUCUCUCUGGUUUACAAUUGAAUGCACAGAAAAACUGCCAUGAGACCUUACUGGAGACACUGGAUGGUAUUCACUACCACCACGCUCCCAAGGCCAAGUUCCUUUGCAUAAUAUGUUGCAGAAAUGCCAGCAAGGAAAAGGAUGGGGAGUAUGGCCUCUGUGAAUUGGAAGCAGGAAAUGGCUUUUCACGUCUCGCGGGAAAAUUCGAGACUGUUAGCCAUCCCUGCCUGGCUGCCUCUUUGUAUACAAUUAAACAAAAAAUUGAUGAAGAAAAUCUGAGCUGCAUUAAGGUGAUUGUCCCCGAGCACAGGAAACUGUUAAUGAAGGCUUACGUUGGUCAACUCUUCACCGAGGUGUAUGAGUUUGAGUUUGAAGAUCUACAGGGAGCUUGGAGGGAUAGCCUUUUGAAACCAUCCACUGGAAUAAACGUGACCACAACUCAAGAACUAGAAGACAUCCAGCAUGAAAUAGAAACAUACUUGAGAAGCCUGCCAGCGCUGAAAGGGGACCUAACUAUUGUCACAUCUCCUCUGAUCCCAGACAACUUCCUGCAUGGAUUUACCACACGGACAGGGGGCAUAUCUUCCGUACCCACUCUCAGCUCCCUCAAUCUUUUCAGUAGUUCCAAAAGGAGAGAUCCCAAAGUGGUUGUUCAAGAAAAUGUUCGCAGGUUGGCAAAUGCUGCCGGAUUUAACGCAGAGAAAUUUUACCGAAUAAAGACUGAUCACGCCAGUGAAGUGUGGGUUAUGGGGAAGAAGGAGCCUGAAUCUUACGAUGGGAUCGUCACAAAUCAGAGAGGAGUCACAAUCACUGCUCUUGGCGCCGACUGUAUACCCAUCGUCUUCGCAGAUCCUGUGAAAAAGGCAUGUGGGGUUGCUCACUCCGAAAGAAAGGGAGAGGACUGAAAGGACAUCAUUCCUAUGGAGGCUAAACAUCAAUACCACUUUUCAAAAGAAACUCCCAUUAACCGUCCAUUCUGUAAGGUGCUCUGUGUGGUUCAUCGAAUGGUAAAGUCGGUACUGUAAUGGAGUCAUUAGUUUUGUGGCUCAUCUAUUAUACCUGGACUUUGAACACAUAAACCACAGCUGUUAAUUUUUCACUGAGUCAUGAAAGCAGUUGCAGUUCUACAUUUUUUAACUUCCCUUGUCUUUUCUUCCCGUUUACCAGGCUGGAAAGGUACAUUGUUGGGUGUGGCUAUGGCUACUGUGAAUGCUAUGAUAGCAGAAUAUGGCUGUGAUGUGGAAGACAUUAUUGUUGUUCUGGGACCGUCAGUGGGUUCUUGCUGCUUCACUCUUCCCAAAGAAUCAGCAGUCUCCUUUCACAGUCUUCAUCCUUCAUGUGUGAGACACUUUGACUCACCGAGACCCUACGUUGACAUCCGAAAAGCCACCAGGAUUCUUCUAGAAAGAGGAGGAAUUCUUCCACAGAACAUUCAAGACCAGAAGGAAGAUCUUGACCUCUGCACGUCCUGCCAUCCUGAGAAGUUUUUCUCCCAUGUCCGCGAUGGCCUUAACUUCGGUACACAGAUUGGCUUCAUAUCCCUUAGAGAAUGAGGUUCUUGGCUGGAGUUUUGCAUAAAGGAUGUUUCCUGCAUCCUUCCACACUGGCUGCAAAAGAAAAUACUUAGCUUUCUGAUUUAUAUAAAACCAUGAGGAUUACAAAAGAUAAUUCAUCUUUAGGGUAUGCUCUUACUGUUACCCAAAGCCCAGUGAUCUUGGUCUAAUUCUUAUGACAACUGAUCAAAAAACCCAAUGUGAUGUCAUUCCUGAAGGUCGUUCUCUGUAUUUGUCUAUAAAUCAAGGCCAGGGCUGUUCAGUUAAGUAUUUGGUAGAUGCCAACUUUUGUUUAGGCAUGGAGCCCAGCACAGGGAAUUGAAAUGAAGUCAGCUUUCUCAUUUGAAGCAGAUGCAGCUGGGAGAUACCUGUUCCCUUAGGUUUCCUUAUGGCAUUCUCAAGCGCCAUGUUUUUGCUGAUCCUUCCCUCCCCUUCCCUGUCCCCUGUGUCCCCUUCCACUCCCGGUAGCCCCUCUUUCCUGUCUCAUGGGCUUUAAUACUUCUCCCUUGCUCAGUCCUCUCUUUAUGUUCCCUUUCUAGUAUCAACACCUAUAUCCACACCUAUGACCACAAAUUUACAGAUCCAUAUAUAUGUAUGUUUACAUAAACAGUAAAAGUUAGAAUUUAUAUUUAUAUAUAAGAAAAAAUACAUGCAGUGUUUGUUAUUCCCAGUCUGGAUUAUUUUGGUCAGCAUAAAAUAAUUCCAGAUCUCUCAAUUUUCCUACAAGUUUGAUAACUUCAUUAUGGCUAAAUAAAAUAUUGUGUGUAUGAACUGCA